UUUCCACCACCGUCCCCACGUGGACGAGUUUUGGCCUUUGGAUCUCACUUGAGCGUUCUAAUCCCAGCCUUUGCUUCAUUUGACUUUUUUAAAUCCACUUUGCAACGCGCUUGACUAAUGCCUACCAUGACCGCGCGCCUCUGAGCCUUUGAUGUUGUCCACGUCAUUUAAUGAACUGGAUCCAACGCUUCCUGAAUUUUCUAUUUUUCUAAUUUCUGUU
rnacentral:lncRNA from 1 species